rnacentral:rRNA from 1 species
UACGGAGGGGGCUAGCGUUGUUCGGAAUUACUGGGCGUAAAGCGCACGUAGGCGGCUUUGUAAGUUAGAGGUGAAAGCCCGGGGCUCAACUCCGGAAUUGCCUUUAAGACUGCAUCGCUAGAACGUCGGAGAGGUAAGUGGAAUUCCGAGUGUAGAGGUGAAAUUCGUAGAUAUUCGGAAGAACGCCAGUGGCGAAGGCGACUUACUGGACGACUGUUGACGCUGAGGUGCGAAAGCGUGGGGAGCAAACAGG